rnacentral:rRNA from 1 species
AAUGAACGCUGGCGGCAGGCUUAACACAUGCAAGUCGAGCGUGCGGCGGACGGGUGAGUAAUGUCUGGGAAACUGCCUGAUGGAGGGGGAUAACUACUGGAAACGGUAGCUAAUACCGCAUACCAUCAGAUGUGCCCAGAUGGGAUUAGCUAGUAGGUGGGGUAAUGGCUCACCUAGGCGACGAUCCCUAGCUGGUCUGAGAGGAUGACCAGCCACACUGGAACUGAGACACGGUCCAGACGCCUACGGGAGGCAGCAGUGGGGAAUAUUGCACAAUGGGGGCAAGCCUGAAGGAGCCAUGCCGCGUGUGUGAAGAAGGCCUUCGGGGUGUAAAACAAAUUCAGCGAGGAGGCGUUACUCGCAGAAGAAGCACCGGCUAACUCCGUGCCAGCCGCCGCGGUAAUUC